UACGUAGGUGGCGAGCGUUGUCCGGAUUUACUGGGCGUAAAGAGCGCGCAGGCGGCUGGUCAAGUCCGAUGUGAAAGCUCCCGGCUUAACUGGGAAAUUGCAUCGGAAACUGAUCGGCUGGAAGGUGGGAGAGGGUAGCGGAAUUCCCGGUGUAGUGGUGAAAUGCGUAGAUAUCGGAAGGAACAUCAGUGGCGAAAGCGACUUCCUGGACCAGUACCGACGUUCAGGCACGAAAGCGUGGGGAGCAAACAGG
rnacentral:rRNA from 1 species